rnacentral:rRNA from 1 species
UACGUAGGGCGCAAGCGUUAUCCGGAAUUAUUGGGCGUAAAGAGCUCGUAGGCGGUUUGUCGCGUCUGCCGUGAAAGUCCGGGGCUCAACUCCGGAUCUGCGGUGGGUACGGGCAGACUAGAGUGAUGUAGGGGAGACUGGAAUUCCUGGUGUAGCGGUGAAAUGCGUAGAUAUCUGGAGGAACACCGGUGGCGAAGGCGGCAUCCUGGACCGGCAUUGACGCUGAGGAGCGAAAGCCAGGGGAGCAAAGCGGG